AAAAUCAUCUUUUCAGUUGAAAGAAUAGUUUUGGCUGAUACAUAGGGAACUUUGCACCCCAGACUCUUCCCUUGGCCAUUAUCAAUUAAAGCCCUCAAACACAGGAACUAAGAAGAUAGGAAUGUUCAGGGAGAGUUCUCACCCCAAGUCAAAAACUCUUAAAAAGUGAAAGGUCAUUCUAAUUCACUCUUCCAGAUAUUCAGGAUUACCUAUGUAACAGCCCUGCAAGUGUCUGAUUACUCGAUCACUCCCUCCUAAUCAAGUAGCCAUUUUAGUUCUUAAGGUAAAAUCAAUAAAAUCGUGGUGAUUUUAUUACAUAGUUGAAUCAUUUGUCAAGCAUGGGCUUGUAAACCUUUUUUUAUUCUCACUGGAGACUUUGAUGGGUGGAGACUCUAAAUACCUUCUUUGAAUAGGAAGUAAAUAUAAACACAUGCAAAGUACUUUUGUAUUAUUCGUAUGUACUGAGUGAUGCAUGGAAAUUUUUUGACUUGGAUUACAUUAAUUAUUAGCUAAUAACUGGUGAAUUCUGCACUGAUCUUCUUUGGAUCAUAUAGGGUAAAUGCAUCAUUUAAAGAUAAAAUGUUCUUGCCAGAAGCCAUCCCGAAUCUGGAAAUCUGGAAAAUUUAGUUUUAAGGGAAUCAAGAGUGCUCAGGGUGCUCUGAGUUAGUAGCAAAUGCAUGUUUCCAGUAACUAUACCGCAACAAGUUAACACUAAAGAGAAAAAAUACAUAGCCAACAAAAUGCUGCACUUCUUGUUUUAGUUUAUGUGUUAUUUGCUUUACACAAAGCAGGGAGUGAUAGGGAAUGCAGAAACUCGUGACCUUUCAUUUCAGUGGAACACGAUGAACCAGAAUAUAUUUAGAUAUAAAGCAUUGAACCACAACAUGCACUGAUGAACUCUUAAAGAAUCCACAUUAAUUGACUGACAGGCACUAUUGAAUUAACGAAGUUAGUUAUGUGUGGUGAUAAAUACUUAACAUAAAUGUUUCUUGGGCUCAUAUACAAGCCCUUUAGCGCCAAAUCCUUCAUAGAUUGGAAAAUGGGAUAAACAAAAUGUGAUACUGAGUCAGUUGCUGGGCAGGACCUAAGGGAAUCUAGAUCAUCAACUGUUUCAUUUUGGGCUCACUCAUUGUUGAGUUGAAAAUUUCAUAUAUGUUGACUGGUGUGUAUGUGUUCAUAUGCCCAUGUUGGGUCUGAGUUUAAUCUGGCAAUAAGAUUUCUUUCUAAACUUUCAAGAAAAAUACCAAUAUUUAUUGACUCAUUAUUUAGUAAGUUUUAGAAUACAUGAACAUCAGUGUUUUCAACUAUUUGGUGGACAUUUCAGUGACAUAAAGUAUCAGAUUAUCAGGUUUGUUUAAAAUAAAUGUAAUCACCAGAGUGAGCUGACAGUAGAAAUUCAGUCAUGCUGUAUUUGCUUCCAUAAAGAAAGAUCAUCAAUAUAUAGAUCAUGUAAUAGGUAUGCUUUAUAUCAAAUAGGAAAUUUUAUAGGAAACUAGAGGAGAGUGAGAUCCAGCUCUGCAGCAGGAAGGAUGCUACUUGAAAUGGAGCCACUUGGGUCCCUUUAAUAAAGAAAGAUGUUAUUCUGUGCUAUGUCUUUGGAAUUCAAAUUGGAAAACACAUGCCAAUCAGUUCUGUAUGGCUUCUGGUCACACAGAUGCUGUUUUAUCUGAUAAAUUUGGAAUCCAGAUUAUUUUGAUGAAAGGUACAUAGGAGAGCUGCUGAAAAGACCACAGUUUCUAAGGAAGCAGGAGGGCCCUGUAAGUGCCCACAGCCACCCCUGAGUUCUAAUCCUCCUCUAACCUGCCUGAUGGAGUAAACAUGAAGAUUUUAAAUGGAAUCAUGUAAUUUAAAUUUAUAGUUUUUCCUAUACCUUUGUCAACUACUGCCUAUGUGGGUUUUUUUUUUUUUAAACCACCAGAACACUUGCAAACUUGUGAAGUUCACUUAAGGAAAGAUUUCAAAAUGUUUGAAAAUAAACAGUAAUAUCUGGUUGGGAAUUAUUUUUGUGUUCUUUUGCUACAAAAUAAGUUUGCUAGGUUUCAGCCUAGCCUGUGAUAAUCUCACCACACUGGAAUAAUUCCAAAUAUGAAUGAAAUGGCUCACUUUCUCCAUUUAUUAUGGAUUAGAAGAAACGAUGAAGGAAGGCUGGCAGAAGCCCAGCCUUACUCUGAGGAGACUCAACUGAAAGGCAUCUCUCCACCGUGAUCUAAUACAGGCCCAGAAUGCAGGGGCAAGUUUAUGUGUGAAGGGACUCUAGAAUAGCUUGUAAAAAUGGCUAAAUGUAACCAGCACACUGGUGGCUUCAUCCAGUAUUCCCAUAACUUUUAAUUCCAUAGGAAAUUUCAUCUGAGCUACUUCCCAGAAAUCAGAAAUCUCAAUAUAUGUGACAGUGUUUUGAGUUUAUGGUAACAAUGUUCUUGAAAUCAAGUCAAUGUUAUCUGCAUUGCAUUGUGAUAGAACCAUAUAUACAUGUUCAAGGAAUCUGUUUUGUUCUUUUUGGCAAAGAGUUGCAGAUAUAAUUGUUACCAAUGUCAGUUAAAGUGAGUCUUUGGGAGUGAGAGAAGACAAUGGUAGCCUUUUCACUUUGAAAUGGAAGUCAGUUGUAUUCUCUGAGUCUACCAAAGACGACUGUUGGAGGAGCGUGAAUGGAGUGUCUGUGUGCAUGUGUGUGUAUGUAUGUAUCCUCGUGCUUCCUGCCGUGCUGUUAAGACCUCCUAAUGAAGGCAAUCCAAAGAAUACCAGGAGGUGACAGUAGGUAUUUGGCAUGAGUAAACUGAGUUCAUUUCCCAACAACUCUCUGAGUUAGAACUGGAGUUAUUCUAGUUAAGGGUGGGAAAAAUCAGCCACUGCCUUAGCCUCAUUUCCAUGGCCAGCAUGCUGGUCUCAUUGACAAGGAUGAAACUCAGUAGGGUUUGACCUGAACCCUUGGCUCCUGUGUGGUGUUGGUAGGGCAAUAAUGACCAGAAAACCACGAGGCCUGCAAGAUGUUACUUUGAAAGAGGGAACGUUUAAUGUCAUUUGUUAGGAAAUAGAAACCAAAUAAAGGCCAAGGACCAUACUCAUUCCAUGAAGAGGUGAACUCCCUCAGCUGACUGUAUUUUGAGUUGACUGAAUGAGGAGGUCGACCCAGCUGUAAGGAAUACUGAGGUCAUUAGACCUCAGAAAACAAUAUGUGCAUACAAUCUCAAGGGCUGUGAACACGGGAAAGGAAGGGAAAAA
rnacentral:lncRNA from 1 species